rnacentral:rRNA from 1 species
AUACGGAGGGUGCAAGCGUUACUCGGAAUCACUGGGCGUAAAGCGCGCGCAGGCGGCUAUUUAAGUUGGAUGUGAAAGCCUACGGCUCAACCGUAGAACUGCAUCCAAAACUAUUUAGCUAGAGUGUGGGAGAGGAAGAUGGAAUUAGUUGUGUAGGGGUAAAAUCCGUAGAGAUAACUAGGAAUACCAAAAGCGAAGGCAAUCUUCUGGAACACUACUGACGCUGAGGCGCGAAGGCGUGGGGAGCAAACAGGAUUAGAAACCCCAGUAGUCC